rnacentral:sRNA from 1 species
UUCUUCAUCUUCUUCUUCCUCUUCUUUCUUCCUC